UGCGUAGGCGUCCGAGAAAGUUAUUUGUUAAAUCCUCCGGCUUAACCGGAGACCUGCAAGUAAAACUACUCGGAUAGAGUUUAAGAGAGGAAAUGGAAUUCCUGGUGUAGCGGUGACAUGCGUAGAUAUCAGGAGGAACAUCUAUGGCGAAGGCAGUUUUCUGGCUUAAAACUGACGCUGAGGCACGAAAGCGUGGGGAGCAAACA
rnacentral:rRNA from 1 species